CUCAACUGGAACAUGAAGACAUAAGCUGGCCUAGCGGCGGUUGGCACCGGCUCCGCCACCAGUAGCACUUCCAGUAGCACCUCCAGUAGCACCUCCAGUAGCACCUCCAGUAGUACCUCCAGUAGCACCUCCAGACGGAACAGUAUUUUCUGAGUUUUGGCCUGGAGCUCCGAACGUCAAGAACGCCAUCACUUUUAAAUUCUCGCCGUUUAAAACCAACGGUUUCGUCUGAAAUGUAAAGAAAAAUUAAAUAAAUUGAUUAACAUUAAAAUAUAAAUUAGAACUUACCGUUAAUGCUAGCUGAACCGCUUCCCGCUCAAAGAAAGUGAUGAAAACAGAACGGUUGAUUCCCGCCCUUGAAUUUUCCUCAAUAUCCAUAACUCUGCCAAAGAACGAGAAUUUGUCCUAAAAUACAAUAAAAUUAAAUAAAAUUAAAAUUCAAAAUUAAUAAUUUAAACUUUACUUUUAUGACAUCCAAUGAGAUAUGCAUUGCAAUUCGUUUUACGAAUAUACGGAACGAAGCGUAUCGUUUUACGACUGCUUUUACAGCCUUUAACUCUUCUUCCGUAUCCGUAAUUUGAAGAUUUUUUAAACGAAGAGUUUUCUCGAAGGCUAUGGUCAUCUUUCUGAUAGCAGCCAAUUCUGGCCCUCUCUGAGAGGAGCAGCUUCCCUAUUCCCUAUUGCAGUAACUGACAUCUGGUAUUGCAUUUUUUCUAUGAAACCUUUUGACGAACUUUAAAAAGAUCUUGAAUAUGGCUGUAAAGUAGAGUUUACAUCGAUCAUGCGAUAUUUUUUUCUUCAUUCUACAUUUUUAGGUUGGAUAGAUUUGAAUGGUUUAAUUGAUAACACCCUAUUUAGAUUCUUAUUUCAUUCUUGACUAAAUUGGGGUUAGUUCAAUACUACAGUACCAAGUGUCAGUCAUAGACUCAUAUCUGUUAAAACCUUAUUUAUUUUUUUUUUACAAGUGCUCAUUUCAAAAGUAACCUAAAAUGGAUUCGGGUGGAUUCGGUAAACCACAAAAACCUCCUAAAGUUGCCAAGGUUAAAAACAAAACACCGGCAGAAAUUCAAAUCACUGCUGAGCAGUUGCUUCGGGAAGCUAAGGAACGUGAUCUUGAAAUUGUUCCACCAGUAAGUGUUUUGGCAAUAGAUAAUAACUUGAAGAAUUGAAGUAAGACAUUUUCUAGUUUUAGCCCAACAACAAACAACAAACAACAAAAAAUUUCAGAUCCCGAUGAGUUAGCAGACUACCAGUACAAGAAACGCAAAACCUUUGAAGAUGCUCUGCGGCGUAAUCGUAAUGUUAUUACCAACUGGAUCAAGUAUGCUCAAUGGGAAGAAAGCCAAAAAGAAAUUCAAAGAGCCAGAAGUGUUUUUGAGCGUGCUCUUGAUGUAGACCAUCGUAACAUUACCCUUUGGCUGAAGGUAAUUCA